AAGGCCUUAGUUUAAUUAAAACAUUUGAUUUGCACUCAUAAAAUGCAAGAUAGAGUCUUGUAGGUCUUA
rnacentral:tRNA from 11 species